GACUAAUUUAAUAAAAAUCUUUACUUGUCAAGUAAAUUUUAUGAAUUUAUUCAUGUC
rnacentral:tRNA from 1 species